CAGUUGCUAAUAAACAAAAGUUUACAAGGCGGGAGCGGUUGAAGGUCUUGCAGGUUGGAUUUGUAUUUAAAAGAUACAAGAUUAAAGAUUUCCGCAUAGUUUCGAAAGAAUUCUGUAGUUGGAUACAAACAUCUGCGAUUCGCGCUAGAAAAAUAGUAACCCGACCUUGUCUCAGUAUAUUAACAAGCCAUAACAAGAAGCCUUAAUUUCAUUAAACUUUUAAUUGAGUUUGUCACAAAUUAGUUGUGCCGACUUACUCGGCUCUCACUCCUGUAAACUUCUAAGAUCUAUAAAAAAGAAACAGUAGUGUAACCAUGAAAUAGCCAAUAGCUUCGUAUUUGCAUAUCCAACCGAGUUUUUGAACUAAAUUGCCAAAACGCUUUUGGCUCUGCGAAGCUGACUGGAAAAAGCGGCACAAGCUUGAGCAAGUUCGACCAGCCGCUGAAUCAGACUUCACGUUGAAAAUCGAGAAAUAAACGUCGAAACUUACAUAUAUACUCACAUUCGUAUAAACACAUAUUUGCGAUAUACACCCAUGUGUGAGUCCUGCGCUGCAAAAUCCCUAACGAUGCCAAUUAAGGGACUGUUUGUUUGCUGUGCCAACAAAUUAGCUUGCAUCAACAUGGCAAAAAGCUAAAAAUGUUUAAAAAGCUGAAUAUGUAAAUCAAAUGAUUAUCAGACUUUUAUUCAGGAAAGCGUCAACGCAGCAUCUUUACAAAUAGACGCUUCAUAAGAAUGCUUGUAGAUUGUUAAGGGCAUCAGUAAGUAAAGUCCUAUAUUAAACGUGAGCAAAUUUCAAAUACAUAAUAAAGAAGAAAUAAAAAAUAUAUGUAACUGGCAGAAUAAAGAAAAGUUUUAUCGGGUAAAGGAACAGGCCUGGCUAAAGGAGAGGGGAUAUCGCCAAUAAUAAAAUAUCAUCCACAGGGUAAUCAAUAAAUUAUUCAAGAAUUUCGCAGCAAGCAGCUAUUAAGCGUAUAAAGUUUAAGGCUUUAAAUAAAAGUCAAAAUUUACAACUUUUACAAAGCCUUAAAAGUGUUUAACCUUUGAUAUCCAGAAUCUAUCCGACUUUUUCCUGCUACCUCUUAGUUUAUUUAUUUUUCGGUUCUGCCGCAGUGAAAAUGUGUGUGAAAUUCUAUCAUCUGUUGCUUCCGGCCAAUGCAAAUGUGAAUCCUGAUGGCCUCCGUGCGAAAAGCCCCUUUGACAUUCUCAAUCAAUUCAUGUUAGCCAAAUCUACACCCACUAUCAGCCAACAUAUAGGAUGUCACACAGCUCGGCGGCAAAUUGAGUUUAAGCUGGUGCUGUCUUUUUUUCGCGGGCCUCACAUGUGCGGAAAAGUGGGCGGGAACACGCCCAUAACAUAGUGUAGUGGUGGCCGUGGAUGCAAAUGAAGUGCAGCGAGUGGAGCGGAGUUAAUUGCUUUCAUAGAGCGCCUAACCUAAAAAGUAUGCUAAGCAAACGGGUGCGUUUUAGUUUUCCUGGUAAAGCGAGCGAAGAGGCCAAGUUAUUAAAAAACUUUUGCUCUCGUAUCCAGGUUAUUCCUUUCCAAGUAUUGCCUCCACCUACCGAUUUUUUCCUACACCCAAAUUGGUGGCGAGAGCAAAUUCACAGAGCCCAUAAAAAUAAUCAUAAAUUUUCCUGCUCUCUCGUUUGUGGGAAAUUGCAGGACAAACAGUUGUUAAAAGCUCCAAGAGUCGUAAAUUUAUGGGGGUGUUUGGGCGCAGGAAGAGGUGGAUCUGGAGCUGACCGGUAUUCUGGAUACCGGGUAUGCAUAUUGACUGGCACAUCGCAUUUUCCUCGCACUUUUCCAAUGGCGAUUAAUGCUAAUAGAGAAGCCCCGCCCAAAAAUUAUGACAAACAAACGCAGGAACAAAGACAAGAAACACUGUGAGGAAGAACACCCUUUGUGGACUUUCACCGCCUGGCUGGCGUCGUUUUCUUCAAUCUACUCUACUUACAUUCUGUUUAUUAAACAAAAACACUCAAAUUGGGACCACAGGCAAGCCCACAUAUUGUCCAUGACGAAGGGCCCCGAGAAGAAACGCGGAAAAUCUGUCGGUAGGGAAAACUGCCCGCCAGGUAGGCGGACACUGAUAACAGCGAGUUCCUUUCAUAUUUUCAUUGAAAAUUGUUUCGCUUCUUGUGUCGCUGGCACGCCAGGCCCAUGGGCAAAAUUUUCGAGUGGGAUGUGGAAUCGUGACAUUCUUGCUAAAUUGUUUGCUUUCGCUGAAAAGUAUCUUAAGAGGGUCGCCUUUGCAGUUGCAAAAUAUACGCAAGAAACGAGAAACUAUUUUUUCAUAUGUAUAAAAAAGUAUAUUUUAAUGUUUUAAGAAUGUAAAUAACUUUUAUGCAUACAAUAGUAUCCUGCAAAACCGAAGAACUGCAAAACCGCCCCAUAAAUUCGCUUGUCUGUUGCUUUUGGCAUAUUGAGGCACUUAAUUUAUGCGCACGGAGGGGUUGGAAUGGGGGUGUGAUCGAAGGAUGUGGCAGAGGGCACUGCGGGGCAGGAACUGCCAAUCGACACAUUUUGGGAAAGGUGGAAUCGGUGUUGGAAUCGAGGGAAAACAUCGCCUCCGGUCAUAUCGACACCGUCUUGUGGCAGCGCCCAGGAACCGCAAGUCGGGAAGGCCAUUAAUGACAAGUUAAAACAACAUAAUUUAGUGGCCGCCUUUGGGACCAAACAUAAACAAUUUCCUUACAAAAGCGUUGAAAGGGCCCUAAAACGUUUUCUACUUGGCCAGAGGUGAGAAUUGAAGGGAAGUCCGAGGGCAACAACGUUGCCCAAAUCGGCGAAUAGAUUAUCAGCUUUGUUGUGGGUAGAUUACAAUUAUGUAAAUUACGGUUCGGGCAAGUCAAGUUUUAUGUUUAUUAUUUGCGGAUUUCCAGGAAUCUUAACGCACUUGUGGUGUUGCGUAAUUGGGAGAUGCAAAUUUGCAAAGUGUCAACAAAAGUUACAUGCAGUUAUUUAUGAUUAUAUCUUUGUUAGGUGACAUCCAUAUUACUUUGGUUAUUCGCGAUUCCUCGUUUAAUUUAUUUACGAACGGUUCUCAGUUCAAAGGUUUAAUUUAACUUUAAGGCCGGAAUAUCCUUUUCAUUAAUUUGGAAUCUAAUUGUAUUAAAACCAUUCUUGAUUUUGCAUUACCGCAUCUGGUUACAGAUACUAGUGGAAAUGUGGCCAGCAAUUGCAAGCCAGAUAAGAAAUUCGGAACAUAAGCAAUGAAGUGCACAGACCUUGAACUUGCUCUUUAACGCUUCUGGGUUGGCUUCAUCUGUCUUCAGUUAAACUUAUCGCCGAAACUUUUGGGCGCGGAAAAGUAAAAUAAACUUGGCCGAAAUGCCAGGAGUGUGCUUUAUUGUCGAUUGGGUAUUUAUGACUUCUUCACAAACAUUUUAGUGUGAAAAUAAGAGAUUAAAGAUUGAAUAAAUCAUAGUUGAUUGAAUGAAUCUUAGUUGAAUUAGACAGCAAGACAACUACUAAAGAAGAUGUCACAGCACUGAUUUGCUUGAACAAAUCCAAACGUUUGACUGUAAAAUUCCCGCAUAAUUGUACCAAUAUACACAACUCCACAAAUAUAGCACAAAGCAGACUUGAACUAAAUCUACUACCGAUUGUCAACCCAUCUUCUGCCCGUCACUUGUCACAUGUAAUGCCCCACAGGAAUAAUGUUAUGUAUAAAACAAGGAACAGAGGCAAAAAAGCUUUUUUAUUGGCCAAAUUAAAUUACUUUGGACUUUUGGGGGCCCACAGCAAUGUGUGCAAAAUAAUUUUUCCCCUGUUACCAACUCAUUUUUUUCAGCACUCACUUUAUGGGAACCAGGUUUUAGUUAGCGUUUGGCUUUAAAAAGCACAAUGUUAAUAAUUGCUCAAAACUGUAACCCAAAAAUAUUUCCCUAAAAUAAAAAUAAGUUUAAUAUAAAUACAACUUGAAAAGAAAGCAUAAUUUGUUUAGCACUUUCUUAAUAAGGUUGGGAAAUUAAGUUCUAUUCAAAUUGUAACUUUGAUCAAUUACAUUCUUUAAAUCAGUUCGACUUCUUGAUUGAGCUCCAUUCAGUGGUUUUAACUCACAGCUUCAUGGACACAGAAAAUUCAUAUUUGGCAGGGGUGUGAGCCAAAAUCAGUGUAUGAAUGAGAAAAUAUUUAGCAGGAAAGCGUAAAGCGUGCUUUCACUUUUCGGUUGCACAUAGUGUGUACAUGCAACAAUCCGUUCAUUGAUAGUGACUAGUUGGUCUCGUUGUCCCGUUGAUAUUCUGCUAAUUGGCGGAAAACAAGGAGGCUUUUAAGUACGGUAUUGACUCGAAUUAAAUGUCCAAUUGGCUCUCUUAGUAGUUAAACGGCGUGAAACCAAAAUAAUUGGGAAACAUGCUCAAUUUUAUAUUUGAUUAUAUUUACUAUAGACUGAAAAGGAAACUCGAUGUGAUGAUAUUUUAUCUUCAUGCAGUUUCAGUGUACUUUAAAGCUGCUCUUCUGGAAACAUCUCAUCCAGCUAAUGACUAAAAAACGCAUUCCGUUUUUGUAUUUAAAUAUGGCAGUGCAUGCGUUCAUACCCCAGAAUCCGCGGCAUAUCGAUCUACCCCGUUUUUAGGCCCUUAUCUGUGGGCGGAUUUUAUUGCGGGGUGCUCUUACAUGGUCGAAACGCACAGUGUAGGCAAAUGUUGGAGCGCAGUGGUUGGGAAUCAAGAGGAAACUCGGGAAACUGGUAGCCAGGGCAACAGAAUCGCCGGGUUCUGGGGUUCGCUCAUUUCACGCUCUGCCAAUACAAGAAUGAAGCUUAUGCACUUGUCGGUCUCAUUGACGUAAUUCUCGAUGUGGCUGUUGCAUUGCAUUCCAUGCAUUCAAGCCGACUAAUGCAAAUAACGAGUUAACAUUAAGACGGAAAGGUGACUUUAAUGACAUCUUAAAAUA